GAUGAACGCUAGCGGCAGGCCUAAUACAUGCAAGUCGGACGGGAUCCGUCGGAGAGCUUGCUCGAAGACGGUGAGAGUGGCGCACGGGUGCGUAACGCGUGAGCAACCUACCUCUAUCAGGGGGAUAGCCUCUCGAAAGAGAGAUUAACACCGCAUAAUAUCAACAGUUCGCAUGUUCGGUUGAUUAAAUAUUUAUAGGAUAGAGAUGGGCUCGCGUGACAUUAGCUAGUUGGUAGGGUAACGGCUUACCAAGGCGACGAUGUCUAGGGGCUCUGAGAGGAAAAUCCCCCACACGGGUACUGAGACACGGACCAGACUCCUACGGGAGGCAGCAGUAAGGAAUAUUGGUCAAUGGGCGGAAGCCUGAACCAGCCAUGCCGCGUGCAGGAUGACUGCCCUAUGGGUUGUAAACUGCUUUUGUCCAGGAAUAAACCUAGAUACGUGUAUCUAGCUGAAUGUACUGGAAGAAUAAGGAUCGGCUAACUCCGUGCCAGCCGCCGCAGUAAAAC
rnacentral:rRNA from 1 species